AGGCUAAAUCGCCAAGAAGAGACAAAAUGUUCAUCGUUUCUCCUUAUAUGGGUCACCGAUUGUCCUCUCGACCGGCCGCGGCCUAUCAAGUCGACGGUUCAGCCUCCCCCAUUUCUAAGCGGUGGCGGUGCGCGUCGGGGAUGCUUCUGGCCAAUUGCGUCAAGUCCAGUCGAUUCGUUGGAGUCAUUUCGC
ensembl:ncRNA C45B2.9 ncRNA